rnacentral:rRNA from 1 species
GAUGAACGCUGGCGGCGUGCCUAAUACAUGCCAGUCGAGCGAACAGACGAGGAGCUUGCUCCUCUGACGUUAGCGGCGGACGGGUGAGUAACACGUGGAUAACCUACCUAUAAGACUGGGAUAACUUCGGGAAACCGGAGCUAAUACCGGAUAAUAUAUUGAACCGCAUGGUUCAAUAGUGAAAGUCGGUUUUGCUGUCACUUAUAGAUGGAUCCGCGCCGCAUUAGCUAGUUGGUAAGGUAACGGCUUACCAAGGCAACGAUGCGCAGCCGACCUGAGAGGGUGAUCGGCCACACUGGAACUGAGACACGGUCCAGACUCCUACGGGAGGCAGCAGUAGGGAAUCUUCCGCAAUGGGCGAAAGCCUGACGGAGCAACGCCGCGUGAGUGAUGAAGGUCUUCGGAUCGUAAAACUCUGUUAUUAGGGAAGAACAAAUGUGUAAGUAACUAUGCACGUCUUGACGGUACCUAAUCAGAAAGCCACGGCUAACUACGUG